rnacentral:lncRNA from 1 species
UGGUUUGCCACUAAGAAUGGAUGUUGUCACUCUUAUUUUUCAUUUGUAUGUUUUUUUUUUCUUUUGGCUAACUAUAUAUAUACUCAUCUUUUUGAAAUCAAUCUGAUAAUUUUCACGAACCUUGUAAUAUUUUAACUCAACUUUAUUUAGCGACAUUUCAAAGGAGAUAUCAUCUCUUCUACUUUUGCUAAUUUUGAAGUAAUCAUAUAUAGAAAAGGAUUCUAUAAUUUAGUACUACCCGAGCGUAAUCG